rnacentral:rRNA from 1 species
UACGUAGGGUGCAAGCGUUGUCCGGAAUUAUUGGGCGUAAAGCGCGCGCAGGCGGCUAUCCAAGUCAGUGGUGAAAGCCCGGAGCUCAACUCCGGAACUGCCAUUGAAACUGUUUAGCUUGAGGAUGAGAGAGGUGAGUCGGAAUUCCCAGUGUAGAGGUAGAAAUUCGUAGAUAUUGGGAAGAACACCGGUGGCGAAGGCGGCUCACUGGCUCAUUACUGACGCUCAGGCGCGAUAGCGUGGGGAUCAAACAGG